GAGUUUGAUCGUGGCUCAGAUUGAACGCUGGCGGCAGGCCUAACACAUGCAAGUCGAGCGGAUGAAGGGAGCUUGCUCCUGGAUUCAGCGGCGGACGGGUGAGUAAUGCCUAGGAAUCUGCCUGGUAGUGGGGAUAACGUCCGGAAACGGGCGCUAAUACCGCAUACGUCCUGAGGGAGAAAGUGGGGGAUCUUCGGACCUCACGCUAUCAGAUGAGCCUAGGUCGGAUUAGCUAGUUGGUGGGGUAAAGGCCUACCAAGGCGACGAUCCGUAACUGGUCUGAGAGGAUGAUCAGUCACACUGGAACUGAGACACGGUCCAGACUCCUACGGGAGGCAGCAGUGGGGAAUAUUGGACAAUGGGCGAAAGCCUGAUCCAGCCAUGCCGCGUGUGUGAAGAAGGUCUUCGGAUUGUAAAGCACUUUAAGUUGGGAGGAAGGGCAGGUAAGUUAAUACCUUGCUGUUUUGACGUUACCAACAGAAUAAGCACCGGCUAACUUCGUGCCAGCCGCCGCAGU
rnacentral:rRNA from 1 species